rnacentral:rRNA from 1 species
GACGAACGCUGGCGGCGUGCUUAACACAUGCAAGUCGAACGGUAAGGCUCCAGCUUGCUGGGGUACACGAGUGGCGAACGGGUGAGUAACACGUGGGUGACCUGCCCUGCACUUCGGGAUAAGCCUGGGAAACUGGGUCUAAUACCGGAUAGGACCAUGGUGUGGAUACUGUGGUGGAAAGUUUUUUCGGUGUGGGAUGGGCCCGCGGCCUAUCAGCUUGUUGGUGGGGUAAUGGCCUACCAAGGCGGCGACGGGUAGCCGGCCUGAGAGGGUGGACGGCCACAUUGGGACUAAGACACGGCCCAGACUCCUACGGGAGGCAGCAGUGGGGAAUAUUGCACAAUGGGCGGAAGCCUGAUGCAGCGACGCCGCGUGGGGGAUGACGGCCUUCGGGUUGUAAACUCCUUUCACCAUCGACGAAGGGUUUCUGACGGUAGAUGGAGAAGAAGCACCGGCUAACUACGUG